UGCGUAGGCGGGUUUCUAAGUCAGAGGUGAAAGCCUGGAGCUCAACUCCAGAACUGCCUUUGAUACUGGAAGUCUUGAGUAUGGCAGAGGUGAGUGGAACUGCGAGUGUAGAGGUGAAAUUCGUAGAUAUUCGCAAGAACACCAGUGGCGAAGGCGGCUUACUGGGCUUUAACUGACGCUGAGGCUCGAAAGCGUGGUAGCAAACA
rnacentral:rRNA from 1 species